GGCAACAGCCAAUCUUCAGCUGGCGGAGCAGCCCUUCCUUACUGGUGCCCAAGCAGGGAACCAGAUGCCAGGAAUUUGGGCUUGACUUCUUGUUCAGACUGUGGGAGAAAACCACCACUUUCCCAAAUGCCUGGCUAAGUAAAAUUGAAGUCAAAAGUACAGAUCCCCAGAACUGUGGAAAAAUGCGGAAGUUAAAACCAGCCUUUUAAAGUAAGUGUCCUAGGAAAACAUACCAGGCACUGGAGAAAUCUAGGAUCAUGAGUGGAGAACAAAAACUGAAGGAAGAUAGAAAGCCUGGAGAGAUGCAUCGCAGAAGAAGGAAGAACCUGGGCAUUUUCUGAGAUACUUGUCCACAGAUAAAACUAGGAAAGGAUGCACAUAAAAUAUAAUGUAGUAUUUACGAUUUUCAACAUCUAACAGUGUUUUCUGGAGUUUGGCAUAGGUAUGAGUUUCUAUCUAUGUGGGAACUAAUAGCUUAAAAUCAGCAUGUCAGUUAACCACUUUGGAUAUCAAAUUGCCCCAAACCACAGAACAUUCUAUAAUGUUCAGUUAGGAUUGAAACUAUGAAGAACAAAGACAACCUCAAGCAUAUUCAAACAAUGGGAAACCUCCCCUACUAAGAAGGAGACUACCAAAACCACUGAGGAUCUUGAAGCGUAGAAGAGGACAUCAGAUCUCCAGGAUUGGAGUCACAGUUAUGAGCUGAGAUAUUGGUGCUGGUAAUGGAACUGGAUCGUCUAACAACCAAGGCAUGUAACUCUUGCAUCGUCUCCCUAGCCCUAUUCUAUUUUUCUUAUUAAUAAAGAUGAAAAAUAAACUAAAA